rnacentral:lncRNA from 1 species
UUCUCUUCCUAUUCCUAACAUGCCUAGUUUUGAUUGUCAGAAGGAGCUACUCCCUGUCGUUACGAGCUCAUGCCAAAAGAAAAGAUAAGCAAAUAUGAAAGAAACUUUUAUUUAAGGCAGAGUUAUUGGCAAUACAUUCAUAGAUUUUUCGAAUCCCAUAAUCGCAGAAGGUCUGCUCUCCAUCGGGGUCCUCCAGAGAUGGAGUUGAUGAUCUCAAUUGGAGGCUGAUCUUCAGGUUGCUCCUCCCUUGGCGGCUCCAGUUGUGGCAGGGCCCUCGGUCGAUCUUUCCUACCUUCAGGCUAGC